UUCCCAGGAAUCUGAACUACUUACUGCACCAACGGAGGAUUCUAAAAGAGAAGAAACCAAGUGUCUUUCAUGCGAAAGAGAAUUUAAACGAGCUUCCCAUUAAAAGACCCACAUGCGAAGUAACUGUGGAGCUAAUAAAUCCCACGUUUGCCCUAUCUGCACCAAAUCAUUCGCAACCGCUCAAGCUUUGACGGCUCACGAUAAGUCUCAUGCCGACCCAGACUCAGAACCUAU